GGGAGAGGAGGGUCGCCCAGCCUUUCUCUGCUCGUAAACAACGCUGGCCGCUGCACGACUGCGGGCGGCGUUCAGAGAUCAAGCCGUGAUGUUUAGAGAUCAAAAGCCAGUGCCCGCCUUACUGAGGAAAGCUUCACGGCUGACCUUUGGGGACUGCAGCGAUUCUGCUCGCCCCGGAGCUCCGCGGCGGCACCCAGCCCAGCUGCAGCACCCCCCUACCCGGACAGAGGCCGUCCCUUCCGCAGUGUGGACGCCUUCCCCUCCCCGGGUUCCUGCAGCAACCCUGUCAUUGGACAGCCUCCCGCGGCGCCGCCUGCCGAGGCACACCUGGUUCUGACAUGCACCCACUCUGGCCAACGUUUCAGAUCUUGGGUUUAAACCCUGGGCUCCAACAUUCGUGGUGCUGGAUACCCACAAGUGCAAAAAACGCAGGGACUGCGGCAUUUCUGGGCAUCAUGUCACUCACCUACAGCUCUUCACCACUGCAUUGCUAGUGCUUAUGUGCAGGGGAGAAAAACUCUGUUCCAAUUACCUGGAUGUUUAAAAGUCUUUCACAUCAAGGGGUACAAAUACAAAAGGGGAACCCAUAAUAAUUCCUGCCUCCUUGCCAGACACUCAACAUAAAUGCAUGCAGAACUUAUGCAGAAUAUGCAGACUUACAUUAGAUACUAGGAAGUUCUUCCCUGUAAGGGUGGUGAGGCACUGGCACAGGUUGCCCAGAGAAGCUGUGGCUGCCCCGUCCCUGGCAGUGUUCAAGAGCAGGUUGGACGGGGCUUUGGGCAACCUGAUCUAGUGGAAGGUGUCCUUGCCUGUGGCAGGGACAUUGGAACUAGAUGAUCUUCUAGUGCAUUUGUACACUGCGCAGUUGCCAUCAGUGGGGAUUUUGCUGCCUACCCCCAAGACCGCACGCAUGGUCUUGAAGUGCCUGCUCAGUGCAUGAAGGUAUGCUCAGUGUGAGAUUCAGCAUGGAAAUGAGAGAACUGGAAAAAGUCACAAGGUCCUGUACAAGAGCCAGCAACUACUUAAAGAAGAGCUGUUUGAUCAAGAACCAAUGCAUAGUGAAACAUCUCUUAAAGGAUCACGUUGUAAUGAAGCACUUGGAUUUGACUGACAUCUGAAUUCCCAAGGAAAACCAAAAAUAUGCCUCUUUCUAAUGCCUGAACUCAGUUUCCACAUGAGAAGCUCAUUUUCACUUUCUGAGGAGGCCAUAACUAACAGUUUUUAGAAGUCAACCAAAGUCAACCUGAACAUCAACAAAAUGAAUGACAGUUCUGUUGCACUUUGUCCUGUGAUUGAUGCAGACAGCACUUCGGCGUUCAGUAAACAUACUCUGAUAUCCAUACAAAGCACUUAACUGCAGUUGUGAAGUACAAGAGCCAAUGUAAAGCUGAAGUACAAAGCUCUGGGGAAAAAAAUAUCAGGAAGAGUUACCAAUGUGGCACGUCACAGUCUUGCUCCACAAUCCUGCUGUGAACCUUGCUGUGGUUCCCUGUGUUGACUCUGUGGCAGCAGAUAACAGAUCAAUUAAACUCGGUGCGUAAAAUUAUAACAUGCCUUAUUCUUAAGAGUUACACAAAUUAUAUUGACACACUCAAUGUAAAUAAAAGGAAGAUAAGCUGCCUUCUGUCUCCAAAGCAAUAAGGCAGAAAUAAAUGUUUGAUUAGA
ensembl:lncRNA